UUUAGAGGAACCAGACUCAAAGGGGAACCUCAUCCUCAAAUGGGUUUCGAUACAUUAUAUGAAUCUUUAUAUAUUAACGUUGUAGGAAUGUUUAUAAACCAUUAGAGUUAGUGGUUCAGCAGGAAAAACAUAAUAGCUAGAACAUAACAGUUGGCAGCUGUAUUAUACUAUAUUUAAUUAAUAAUGCACGGUUUAUUGUAUUCUAUCUCGUUUCCUGUCUUUUCAUGAAUUGCUGUUCAGAAUCGACUCCACUGAUUCAUUGUCACUCGAAUCAGAAUCGGAGUCAGCUACAGGAUUUCUCAUUUUGAGCAGCAUACAGUAGUAUGGUAUUAUGUUAGCGUAUGUUGUCAUGUCAAGGAACGUCGGGGGAGUUUUCUUGUUCCCAUCGGGUGUGGCUGUCCACUGUUGAAUACUCUUUGCAUAUCUCUGUCUCUUGUCUCUGAUUGGCCAACUUGCGGAGUAAACCGUUUAGAAUCGGAGAAUUUAAAUCCUUUCGUAUUAAAAGCGCUUCCAAGAAGUGACAUCCUCCUACAGAAGUCUCGUAUGAACCUGUGAUCUAACGGUAAAGCUCUUACCUGCUUCGUGCUGCACACAAAAAGAGUUUGAGAAACGUUUUGAAACGUUAACUGAGAAUCGUCAGCAGCUCCAUUUUGUGUGGAGUGAAAACUAAAAGAUUUCAGGAGUAAAAACAGGUUUAAUUUAACACACCGAUGUUGGAGUGAAGUAAACGUGUGUCCUGCUGUAAUCUUGAGAAGGAGACAUGACCUCCAAUAUAAGUGUGUCUGGAAAACAGGACUUACAGUAAAGAAAGACGAGAGAAUGAUGGAGGGAAAGAGAUCAGACUCACCAGAACCCAGCUGUGUGUCCAUGAAGAGUGACAAGUCAAUGGGACAUCCAAUUGCCUUCAGAGACAGAGACAGUUCUACUGAUGUGAGACCACAAAACUCAAACAUCAUCAGAAAUCAGCUGGACUCUAUAUUCAAGGAGCUGGAACACAAAGUCAUCACUCUGAUAAAGAAUGAGCUGAAGAGGUU